rnacentral:rRNA from 1 species
UGAAGCUGGAAUCGCUAGUAAUCGCGGAUCAGAAUGCCGCCGGUGAAUACGUUCCCGGGUCUUGUACACACCGCCCGUCACACCAUGGGAGUCGGAAAUGCCCGAAGCCGGUGACCCAACCCGAAAGGGAGGGAGCCGUCGAAGGCAGGUCGGAUGACUGGGGUGAAGUCGUAACAAGGUAUC